rnacentral:rRNA from 1 species
UACGUAGGGAGCAAGCGUUGUCCGGAAUCAUUGGGCGUAAAGCGCGCGUAGGUGGCCAUUUAAGUCCGCUGUGAAAGUCAAAGGCUCAACCUUUGAAAGCCGGUGGAUACUGGAUGGCUAGAGUACGGAAGAGGCGAGUGGAAUUCCUGGUGUAGCGGUGGAAUGCGCAGAUAUCAGGAGGAACACCAAUAGCGAAGGCAGCGCGCUGGGACGUUACUGACACUGAGGCGCGAAAGCGUGGGGAGCGAACAGG